rnacentral:rRNA from 1 species
GUCUACGGCCACACCACCCUGAACGUGCCCGAUCUCGUCUGAUCUCGGAAGCUAAGCAGGGUCGGGCCAGGUUAGUACUUGGAUGGGAGAAAAAUGGAGAAGGGAAUUGGAGGAC